UACGGAGGGGGCUAGCGUUGUUCGGAAUUACUGGGCGUAAAGCGUGCGCAGGCGGUUCGUUGUGUCUGAUGUGAAAGCCCCGGGCUCAACCUGGGAAUGGCAUUGGAAACUGGCGAGCUAGAGUGUGGCAGAGGGGGGUGGAAUUCCGCGUGUAGCAGUGAAAUGCGUAGAGAUGCGGAGGAACACCGAUGGCGAAGGCAGCCCCCUGGGCUGACACUGACGCUCAGGCACGAAAGCGUGGGGAGCAAACAGG
rnacentral:rRNA from 1 species